rnacentral:lncRNA from 1 species
ACUCUGUAGUCACCCAGGCUGGAAUGCAGUGGUGCGAUCUUGGCUCACUGCAACCUCCACCUCCCAGAUGCAAGCGAUUCUUGUGCCUCAGCCUCCCGAGUAGCUGGGAUUAAAGGCAUGCGCCACCACGCCCAGGAGACAGCUUCCCAAGGCUGGAAAGAGGGGAGUGCGGAACAUGCCUCCACCAUACCACUGCCCACCUCCUGUGACCUCUGCAGCAAAACCUGAAGCCCCAAAGAGGCAGCUUCUCAAAGUAAAAGUGGAAUGAAGAAUUUUAAUAACUGCUUCACAGCCUCUCCUGCGGGUUAGAUGUCCUGAGUGUGCUGAUGUUUGCAACACUUCCCUUUUCUGCUGUUUGAAUCAUCUGCAACUUCACAGGGUUAGUAAUAAAGUCGGCUGACGGGCAGAUCUCAUCCUGACCCUGGCAAUAGUCACUCUUACCUAAGGCAACUGACUCAGGCUUCUCCUGGGCUCUUUUUUUCACCCCACUAGGCAGAUUUCUCUCUAUAUAUGGUAAUAAUGCUCCCAAGCAGAGGCCGCUGGCUUCCCCAGGAAAACUGGAAAGUGAAAUCACAUACCAGAGACUUUGUGGUACUGUGGCCACGGUCGUUUUUCUGCUACUAAG